CCCGGGGCGACCGGCGCACGGGUGAGUAACACGUAUGAAACCUGCCCGUAGCAGGGGGAUAAGCGGAAGAAAUUCCGUCUAAUACCGCGUAACAACCCAUGGAGGCAUCUCUGUGGGUUUAAAGGAAGCGAUUCCGGCUACGGAUGGUCAUGCGUCGCAUUAGCUUGUUGGCGGGGUAACGGCCCACCAAGGCGACGAUGCGUAGGGGUUCUGAGAGGAAGGUCCCCCACACUGGUACUGAGACACGGACCAGACUCCUACGGGAGGCAGCAG
rnacentral:rRNA from 1 species